GGAAUCUUCCACAAUGGACGAAAGUCUGAUGGAGCAACGCCGCGUGAGUGAAGAAGGUUUUCGGAUCGUAAAACUCUGUUGUUGGAGAAGAACACGUUUGAGAGUAACUGUUCAGACGUUGACGGUAUCCAACCAGAAAGCCACGGCUAACUACGUGCCAGCAGCCGCGGUAAUACGUAGGUGGCAAGCGUUAUCCGGAUUUAUUGGGUUUAAAGGGAGCGCAGGCGGCCUUUUAAGCGUGACGUGAAAUGCAGGUGCUCAACAUCUGAGCUGCGUCGCGAACUGGAGGGCUUGAGUGAGUUCGAUGUCAGCGGAAUUCGUGGUGUAGCGGUGAAAUGCUUAGAUAUCACGAAGAACCCCGAUUGCGAAGGCAGCUGGCAAGGCCUUUACUGACGCUAAAGCUCGAAGGUGCGGGUAUCGAACA
rnacentral:rRNA from 1 species